rnacentral:tRNA from 2 species
GCUUCCAUAGCUCAGUCGGUAGAGCGCUUCCAUGGUAAGGAAGAGGUCACCAGUUCGAGCCUGGUUGGAAGCU